rnacentral:rRNA from 1 species
GACGAACGCUGGCGGCGUGCCUAAUACAUGCAAGUCGAGCGCAGGAAGCUGACGGAACUCUUCGGAGGGAAGGCAGUGGAAUGAGCGGCGGACGGGUGAGUAACACGUAAGGAACCUGCCUCAAGGAUUGGGAUAACUCCGAGAAAUCGGAGCUAAUACCGGAUAGUUCAACGGACCGCAUGGUCCGCUGAUGAAAGGCGCUCCGGCGUCACCUUGAGAUGGCCUUGUGGUGCAUUUGCUAGUUGGCGGGGUAACGGCCCACCAAGGCGACGGUGCAGAGCCGGCCUGAGAGGGUGAUCGGCCACACUGGGCCUGAGACACGGCCCAGACUCCGACGGGAGGCAGCAGUAGGGAAUCUUCCACAAUGGAAGAAAGGCUGAUGGAGCAACGCCGCGUGAGUGAUGAAGGUUUUCGGAUCGUAAAACUCUGUUGUAAGGGAAGAACACGUACGAGAGGAAAUGCUCGUACCUUGACGGUACCUUACGAGAAAGCCACGGCUAACUACGUGCCAGCCGCCGCAGUAAAAC